CUCUCCUGCAGCAAGCAGCACUUGUAUUGAAUGCCUCCCGGCGAUUUCGGUAUACUUUGGACUUAAAAAAGGAAGAAGAAAAUGAUCAGAGGAGAAGAAUGAUUAGAGCUCAUGCACAAGUCAUUAGAGCGGCACUGCUCUUCAAAUUGGCAGGGGAAGAACAACUUGAUUAACAAGUUUUUGCAAAGGUAAAGGAAUUAAAUCAAGUGGGUUAGUGAGUUAAACCCAUAUGCAAUUUCAAAGGAGAUAAGUUGGUGGAAGAGUGAAUAAUCCUUAAUCCUGUU